rnacentral:rRNA from 1 species
GGCCCUGCUUUUGUGGGGUGCUCGAGUGGCGAACGGGUGAGUAACACGUGAGUAACCUGCCCUUGACUUUGGGAUAACUUCAGGAAACUGGGGCUAAUACCGGAUAGGAGCUCCUGCUGCAUGGUGGGGGUUGGAAAGUUUCGGCGGUUGGGGAUGGACUCGCGGCUUAUCAGCUUGUUGGUGGGGUAGUGGCUUACCAAGGCUUUGACGGGUAGCCGGCCUGAGAGGGUGACCGGCCACAUUGGGACUGAGAUACGGCCCAGACUCCUACGGGAGGCAGCAGUGGGGAAUAUUGCACAAUGGGCGGAAGCCUGAUGCAGCAACGCCGCGUGCGGGAUGACGGCCUUCGGGUUGUAAACCGCUUUCGCCUGUGACGAAGCGUGAGUGACGGUAAUGGGUAAAGAAGCACCGGCUAACUACGUGCCAGCAGCCGCGGUGAUACGUAGGGUGCGAGCGUUGUCCGGAUUUAUUGGGCGUAAAGGGCUCGUAGGUGGUUGAUCGCGUCGGAAGUGUAAUCUUGGGGCUUAACCCUGAGCGUGCUUUCGAUACGGGUUGACUUGAGGAAGGUAGGGGAGAAUGGAAUUCCUGGUGGAGCGGUGGAAUGCGCAGAUAUCAGGAGGAACACCAGUGGCGAAGGCGGUUCUCUGGGCCUUUCCUGACGCUGAGGAGCGAAAGCGUGG